AAAGUCGUAACAAGGUUUCCGUAGGUGAACCUGCGGAAGGAUCAUUACCGAAUCGUCAAACACGGGUUGUUGCUGGCCCCCCAAACGGGGCAUGUGCACGCUCUGUUUACACAUCCACUCACACCUGUGCACCCUCUGUAGUUCUAUGGUUCGGAAGACCCCGUCUUCCUUCCGUGGCUCUACGUCUUUACACACACGCCGUAGCGACGUCUCAUGGAAUGUUUUUAUGCGUUUAACGCGAUACAAUACAACUUUCAGCAACGGAUCUCUUGGCUCUC
rnacentral:misc_RNA from 1 species